rnacentral:rRNA from 1 species
GACGAACGCUGGCGGCGUGCUUAACACAUGCAAGUGGAGCGACGAACCGGGCUUCGGCCCGGGGCAAAGCCGCGAACGGGUGAGUAACACGUGGGUAACCUGCCCCGAUGACUGGGACAACCCGGGGAAACCCGGGCUAAUACCGGAUGAGCUCUCCCCACAUAAGUGGGAAGAGGAAAGGUAGCUUUGGCCUCCGCAUCGGGAUGGGCCCGCGGCGCAUUAGCUUGUUGGUGGGGUAAUGGCCUACCAAGGCGACGAUGCGUAGCUGGUCUGAGAGGACGAUCAGCCACACUGGGACUGAGACACGGCCCAGACUCCUACGGGAGGCAGCAGUGGGGAAUCUUGCGCAAUGCGCGAAAGCGUGACGCAGCAACGCCGCGUGGGGGAAGAAGGCCUUCGGGUUGUAAACCCCUUUCAGGAGGGACGAAGCGUGGACGGUGAAUAGCCGAUUCACGUGACGGUACCUCCAGAAGAAGCCCCGGCUAACUACGUGCCAGCAGCCGCCGUAAAAC